rnacentral:rRNA from 1 species
UACGUAGGGUGCGAGCGUUGUCCGGAAUUAUUGGGCGUAAAGGGCUCGUAGGCGGUCUGUCGCGUCGAAAGUGAAAACUCAGGGCUUAACCCUGAGCCUGCUUCCGAUACGGGCAGACUAGAGGUAUGCAGGGGAGAACGGAAUUCCUGGUGUAGCGGUGAAAUGCGCAGAUAUCAGGAGGAACACCGGUGGCGAAGGCGGGUCCUGGC